rnacentral:rRNA from 1 species
UACGAAGGGGGCUAGCGUUGCUCGGAAUCACUGGGCGUAAAGGGUGCGUAGGCGGCGCGGUAAGUCGGGUGUGAAAUCUCGGAGCUUAACUCCGAAACUGCAUUCGAUACUGCCAUGCUUGAGGACUGGAGAGGAGACUGGAAUUUACGGUGUAGCGGUGAAAUGCGUAGAUAUCGUAAGGAAGACCAGUGGCGAAGGCGGGUCUCUGGACAGUUCCUGACGCUGAGGCACGAAGGUCAGGGGAGCAAACGGG